rnacentral:tRNA from 1 species
GCCCGAGUGGCGCAACGGUAGCGCAAGCGAUUUGUAAUCGCUAGGUUGGGGGUUCGAUUCCCUUCUCGGGCU